rnacentral:ribozyme from 1 species
UCUUGUAAAUAUCGAUGAGGAGAAGAAGAAUAGGAAGAGGAAGAUGAAGGAGAUGAAGGAGAAGAAAAAGACGAAUAAGCUUCGUUGACUUCAGUUCUUCUUCCUUCGUUUUUUCCACCUUUCACU